AAUAAGUGUAGUUUUGCACUGUUCAUAUCCAACAUUUGACUGUUCUUCUUAUUUGAAAAUUAUUAUUAUUACUAUUACUAUUACUAUUACUAUUAUAUGAUAAAACAUGAAUAGUACUUUAUGUGUGACUAUUUUUUAUAAAUUGUUCAUCAUUUUUUCAAAUAAGACGGAUGGUCAAAUGUUGGACAAGAAUACGGGAUACCUACAGCUGCACUUAUU
rfam:Oryza barthii chromosome 9, whole genome shotgun sequence.